rnacentral:tRNA from 2 species
GCCCAGGUAGCUCAGGGGUAGAGCACAUCCUUGGUAAGGAUGAGGUCGCGGGUUCAAUUCCCGCUCUGGGCUCCA